GACGAACGCUGGCGGCGUGCUUAACACAUGCAAGUCGAGCGGUAAGGCCCUUUCGGGGGUACACGAGCGGCAAACGGGUGAGUAACACGUGGGUGACCUGCCCUUAGCUCUGGGAUAAGCCUGGGAAACUGGGUCUAAUACCGGAUAUGACUCCAUAACGCAUGUUGUGGGGUGGAAAGCCUUGUGCGGCUAGGGAUGGGCCCGCGGCCUAUCAGCUUGUUGGUGGGGUGAUGGCCACCAAGGCGACGACGGGUAGCCGGCCUGAGAGGGCGACCGGCCACACUGGGACUGAGACACGGCCCAGACUCCUACGGGAGGCAGCAGUGGGGAAUCUUGCGCAAUGGGCGAAAGCCUGACGCAGCGACGCCGCGUGGGGA
rnacentral:rRNA from 1 species